CACGAAGAAGGGGCGGGGCAUUGAGAAAGGGUCUGAGAAAAUGUUGACAGAUCCCAAUCAACUUACUCAGAAGGGGAGAUGGUAACGAUUGAGAUGCCGAAGCCUAGCAACAACACUAAGGUCCACGCCCACCGCAUUCGGAAUUGGUCGAAAUCAUGCAUGUUAAGUAGUUACUCGGCGAUGAUUGGUCACGUAAAGCGCUUAGGGCAGAGGAGGGCAGGGUUAGCCCAUAGGUGAUGGCCAAUGGGCGCCGUUGAACUUGACGUUGCUGUGAGGAAGAAGAGAGUUGAGAAGGAGAGGAGAAUUAGAAAAAAAAACAAGGGAACGCUGCCGGUUAGGGAUCGCGAAUAAAUAUCAAAGCGGUAUCAAAAGCGUGCAAAGGGCUGUAUGUGACGGCUUAUGUUCCAAACAAACUACUGGAGUGUCUUUGCCGCAGUUUCAUGUUUAUAAUUAAUAGUUAAAGGUAAUUAAUUUGAAAAGGCGGCAACUCUAAACACACAUGAAAUGAGCCCUGUUGUGCCCGCGGAAUUACUUCAACACAUGCAAUUUUAGCGAAAGGCUUCUGCCCUGGAGAACAAACGGAGCACAAGGGGUGUUCAAGAAGUUAUAAACCCGUUACUAAAAUGCAUAUUGUGCAUAUGGAAGUAUAGGAAUAAUCUGAGAUAUCAGCGGAUCCGUGAAUAACAUCUAACCAGUGCUCAGGAUAAACUGGUAUUCCUGUUUGCCUAUUGGUUUGUUUGGUUUAUAUGCCAAAACUUGUAUCUGACACUGAAUCAUAAGUGUUUUGAUGGUGAUGACCGAAAGUGAAAGAAAAUGAAUACAGUGUGAAACCAUUGUAGGGUUGCAAUCACUAUCCACUGUGUGACCUUCAUAAAUGGGUGUAGAAUCAGGCCCAGACUGACAAUCUGUGGAUUCUGGCAAAUGCCAGAGGGGCUGCUGUAAGGUGCCAUAGUC